rnacentral:rRNA from 1 species
AACGAACGCUGGCGGCAGGCCUAACACAUGCAAGUCGAGCGAGGACUUCGGUCCUAGCGGCGGACGGGUGAGUAACGCGUGGGAACGUGCCCUUUGCUUCGGAAUAGCCCUGGGAAACUGGGAGUAAUACCGGAUGAGCCCUUUGGGGGAAAGAUUUAUCGGCGAAGGAUCGGCCCGCGUUGGAUUAGGUAGUUGGUGGGGUAAUGGCCUACCAAGCCGACGAUCCAUAGCUGGUUUGAGAGGAUGAUCAGCCACACUGGGAAUGAGACACGGCCCAGACUCCUACGGGAGGCAGCAGUGGGGAAUCUUAGACAAUGGGGGAAACCCUGAUCUAGCCAUGCCGCGUGAGCGAUGAAGGCCUUAGGGUUGUAAAGCUCUUUCAGCUGGGAAGAUAAUGACGGUACCAGCAGAAGAAGCCCCGGCUAACUCCGUG